UACGAAGGGGGCUAGCGUUGCUCGGAAUCACUGGGCGUAAAGGGUGCGUAGGCGGGUCUUUUAAGUCAGGGGUGAAAUCCUGGAGCUCAACUCCAGAACUGCUUUUGAUACUGAAGAUCUUGAGUUCGGGAGAGGUGAGUGGAACUGCGAGUGUAGAGGUGAAAUUCGUAGAUAUUCGCAAGAACACCAGUGGCGAAGGCGGCUCACUGGCCCGAUACUGACGCUGAGGCACGAAAGCGAUGGGGAGCAAACAGGGGAUUA
rnacentral:rRNA from 1 species